AAGGUUACAGUAAUUCAUAAAAAACUUAAAUUUAAAUUUGACUUUGCAAUCCCAUCACCCGAAAAACAAAAACAAAUACAAAUAACAAAAAUUGAAAUAAAAGCUAAAAAAAUAUUUGACCUUAAAAAGUAUUUGAAAUAGAGCCUUUACUGUCAGAAACGAAGUUGGCGUUCCGUGUCUCUGACUUAACGAACGUACCUAGAGAAUCCGAUAAAUGAGUUCGGUCUUUAAAAAUUAGCUCACUUUCAAAUUAGGCCCCGAAAAUAGCCGAAUGAAAAGAAUCGGGUCGCGCGUAGGUUUGUUAUAACCAAAAUCUGGGUUGAAGAUUCUCUUUCAUUCCGACUGUCGACAGUUACAGAAGUCUAGUGGCAAACCGUGAUAGAAGAAAAAUUAUAGAGUGUGAGAAGGGAGUCAAAAGUUUUAAAAGUAGAAGUAAUAGAGAGUGAAUUAAGAAAAUAACUCUGUAAUUAAUUAUGGUACUUUGUAUAAGAAUUGCAGGUUUCCUUUUAUACCAAAAGUAUAUUAAAAAAGUGCUAUUACAAAACCACGUGUGCCUAGUAAGGUUUGUGUAACAAUACAAUGUAUUGUUCUUUUGACAAGUAGAUCUUUUAAUACUUAGGCAGAGGCCGUUAACGCUGCAACCCUCGUGUGCAAGCGAGAAUCUGUAAUAGAAACGAAUUUUUCGAACCAACCGAUCAAAAUCAUACAGAUCCCUUCAAACGAGGGUGCACCCCUAGGGCCCGGACGGCGUGACAUCACAGAACUGAUCGUUUGCGUCAUUCUGUUGGACCGAUAAGGCUGUGACGAAGCAUACAUCGUGCAGCAUAAAUAGUGACGUCACUCGCUGGUGUGUCAGUUCAACUCACCACGCGGUCUGUCCAAGCUACCAACCGCAAGCGUUUCCACGGGCAACCGAUAGAGGGCGACUCGUCACCAUCCAACCCGAUCGGUCGCAUGCAAGCCCGGCGGUUUAUUGCAUGGAAGAUUGAACGCCUCGACACCACUCGCGUAUACGCCACGUGACCGGUCAAAGGCGUAAGUUUGACCACGUUGAUGACCAGUAAGUGCACUUAUCAUCCUCCGCUGGACUCCGUGGGACCACGCCAUCGUUCCUGGUAGCUGUAAACCAAGUAAGGUCGACCUAAUUUUGUAAAUACUAACCCCCCUAUACCAAUGUACAUAUUAUAAGCAAGCGCUAAGACAAAGAUCGUAAAUUGCCAUUUUAGUUCCACAAGUUAUUGGGGAAAUAAACGAAGAGCUCUGCAAACGCAUUUUUUAAGCAAUUCUUAGUUGUUGCAGUUUUAGUGUCUGAGAAGUUUCAACACAGUUCGUUUUUUUUUUCUCGUUGGAUUAGAAUAGGCUCUGGAAAGGGA